rnacentral:rRNA from 1 species
GAUGAACGCUGACAGAAUGCUUAACACAUGCAAGUCAACUUGAAUUUGGGUUUUUAACUUAGAUUUGGGUGGCGGACGGGUGAGUAACGCGUAAAGAACUUGCCUCACAGCUAGGGACAACAUUUAGAAAUGAAUGCUAAUACCUGAUAUUAUGAUUUUAAGGCAUCUUAGAAUUAUGAAAGCUAUAUGCGCUGUGAGAGAGCUUUGCGUCCCAUUAGCUAGUUGGAGAGGUAACGGCUCACCAAGGCGAUGAUGGGUAGCCGGCCUGAGAGGGUGAUCGGCCACAAGGGGACUGAGACACGGCCCUUACUCCUACGGGAGGCAGCAGUGGGGAAUAUUGGACAAUGGACCAAGAGUCUGAUCCAGCAAUUCUGUGUGCACGAUGAAGUUUUUCGGAAUGUAAAGUGCUUUCAGUUGGGAAGAAAAAAAUGACGGUACCAACAGAAGAAGUGACGGCUAAAUC